CAGUCGCCACGGUAAUACGGAGGGUGCAAGCGUUAAUCGGAAUUACUGGGCGUAAAGCGCACGCAGGCGGUUUGUUAAGUCAGAUGUGAAAUCCCCGAGCUUAACUUGGGAACUGCAUUUGAAACUGGCAAGCUAGAGUCUUGUAGAGGGGGGUAGAAUUCCAGGUGUAGCGGUGAAAUGCGUAGAGAUCUGGAGGAAUACCGGUGGCGAAGGCGGCCCCCUGGACAAAGACUGACGCUCAGGUGCGAAAGCGUGGGGAGCAAACAGGAUUAGAUACCCGCGUAGUCCCUGUCUCUUAUAA
rnacentral:rRNA from 1 species